rnacentral:rRNA from 1 species
GUGGGGAAUCUUGCACAAUGGGGGAAACCCUGAUGCAGCGACGCCGCGUGAGCGAUGAAGCCCUUCGGGGUGUAAAGCUCUUUCGGCAGGGAAGACUUUGACGGUACCUGCAGAAGCAGCUGCGGCUAACUACGUGCCAGCAGCCGCGGUAAUACGUAGGCAGCAAGCGUUGUUCGGAGUUACUGGGCGUAAAGGGUGCGUAGGCGGUUCCCUAAGUUUGGUGUGAAAUCUCCCGGCUCAACUGGGAGGGUGCGCCGAAAACUGGGGAGCUAGAGUGUGGGAGAGGUGAGUGGAAUUCCUGGUGUAGCGGUGAAAUGCGUAGAUAUCAGGAGGAACACCGGUGGUGUAGACGGCUCACUGGACCAUUACUGACGCUGAGGCACGAAAGCGUGGGUAGCAAACAGGAUUAGAUACCCUAGUAGUCC